UUGGGAAAAGAGUUCAUCUGUUGCCAACGGGCAAAAGACUUUCUCCACAGUCUGCCUGGUAUUUGGGCUUCCUCCUGAGCUAUUGAAAAGAAUAGCAACUGUUUUUUGACUGCUUAUCGUGAGGCAGAGCCUGGGCUAACCAUUUAUUGAGUUUACUCAUCUCUGUAGUCUCCACAGCGGUGUAUGAGAUAGAAGAUACAAUUUUGUACAUUCCCAGUUCAAAAAAAUGAUAAAGGUGAGAGGCGACGGAUAUGCUAAUUACCCUGAUUUGAUCAUUACACGUUGUAUACAUAUAUGGAACUAUUGCGCUGUAUCCCGGAGCCUAUGGAGAAUUUUGGUGGCAGGAGCAGUGCUGAUCUGUAAGAACGGUUGAUCAUCCCAAGAAAUACUGUAUCUGGGACUCAGAAAGCGGAGCAGUUCCUAGGAAAUGAUCUACAUACAGAAGAAACCGGGGCCCUGAAGGUUCAAGACCAAUGGAGGCAAGAAGAAAUUCUCCAAGAGCCUCAUCAUCUCACCAGCUGUCAUGAUGCCAAUCUUGUCAAUCUGUGAUUCCAGAGUAGGGCCAUAGCACAAAAGGGAGUUAACAAAGGAAUUCAAUGAUGAAAACAGCAUUUCAGAAAAUUAACUUGAUAGCAGCAUGUAGUAUGAACUAGAGGAUAUAGUAGCAAUAGGAAAAAACCCUAGAGGGAAAGUAGAAAAUAGUGUUUAUUGGGCACACACUCUAUGCCACAAAUUUGAUUUUCUUACGUAAUUUAAUCCUAAAAUAACCUCUCUUCACUCUGUAGAAGUUAUUAUUCCUAUUUUACAUAUGGGCAAAUUAAAGGGUGAUUAAAUGGCUUACCCAUGUUCUCACUGCAAAUAAGUUCAGAAUCAGGGCAGAGGCAGCCUUAAUGGAGAUGGAAGGAUGAAGCUAAGAGAUGCUGUGGAGGAGGAAGGGGAUUUGGUGACUCCACAAGAAAGUUGAAAAUGAAAGAGGAAUCAAGGCUGAUUUCAAACUCCUAAGCCAUAGUGUUAAAAGAGUAAUGCGAAUGAAAUUGGGCAAACCAGGAGAUAAAUUUGUAGGAAAGAAAGGAGUGGGUUUUUUUUAAAUGUUAACAAUAAAACUGUAAGUACUUUUUUAAAAUUCAGCAAUACAAUAUGAUAUAUAUUGAAAAGUAAAAAUCUUCUUCCUUUUCCCAUUCCCACUCCCAAAUCUUAGUGACUAUUUACUGCUUCUUGUGUAUCCUUCCUUAAAAGUUACUUUUACACAAAUAAUGAUCAUACACUACCAUUAAUAGUGUAUUUUUAAACUGGAGCUUUCCAGGUAUGCCUCAUUCUUUUUAAAAGCUGCAUAGUUUUUCACUGUACUCACUUAUCCUUAACCAAUUCGGUACUCACUUAUACUUAACCAAUUCUGUAUUGAUAAGUAUUUUGGCUGUGUUUAGUAAGAUUGUUUAUGGUGUUGUUUUUGCUACUAUUACUGCUUGCAACUACAAAA